UACGUAGGGUGCGAGCGUUGAUCGGAAUUACUGGGCGUAAAGCGUGCGCAGGCGGUUUUGUAAGCCAGAUGUGAAAUCCCCGGGCUCAACCUGGGAAUGGCAUUUGGGACUGCAAGGCUGGAGUGUGGCAGAGGAGACUGGAAUUCCUGGUGUAGCAGUGAAAUGCGUAGAUAUCAGGAGGAAUACCGAUGGCGAAGGCAGGUCUCUGGGCUGACACUGACGCUCAUGCACGAAAGCGUGGGGAGCAAACAGG
rnacentral:rRNA from 1 species